UGGGAUCUCUCUGUACAGACUAUGGACAAACUUAGGGACUGUUCAGUGGCGUAACUACCGAGGGAGCAAGAGGUGCAGUUGCACCGGGGCCCGCUCCACCUCGGGGCCCGCCAGAGCCACUGACUUUUGUUUUUAGGUUUUUUUUUUUUUACAAUUUUUUUUUGCCUUUCCUUUUUUUGUGCUGGCUGGUCUGGCUCUUUUAUUUGUGCUGGCUGGGCGUGCUCCCUCCGCUUUUUUUUUUUGUGCUGGCUGGGCACCUCCCCCCUGCUGUUUCUGUGGAGCCGCUCUGCUGGAAGCCCCCUUCUGAUGACAUCAAUUCUGGUUUCCAGCAACGGCACUUCCUGCUUUAUGGUGGUCAGCGAGUCACGGAUCAGUUUGCAGAUCAGGCAGUUGCGGGUCAGCCCACUAAUGAUGACAUCACUUCCCGUUUCCAGCAACGACACUUCCUGCUUUAUGG